CCUACGGGAGGCAGCAGUGGGGAAUAUUGCACAAUGGGCGGAAGCCUGAUGCAGCGACGCCGCGUGAGGGAUGACGGCCUUCGGGUUGUAAACCUCUUUCAGUAGGGAAGAAGCGAAAGUGACGGUACCUGCAGAAGAAGCGCCGGCUAACUACGUGCCAGCAGCCGCGGUAAUACGUAGGGCGCAAGCGUUAUCCGGAAUUAUUGGGCGUAAAGAGCUCGUAGGCGGUUUGUCGCGUCUGCCGUGAAAGUCCGGGGCUCAACUCCGGAUCUGCGGUGGGUACGGGCAGACUAGAGUGAUGUAGGGGAGACUGGAAUUCCUGGUGUAGCGGUGAAAUGCGCAGAUAUCAGGAGGAACACCGAUGGCGAAGGCAGGUCUCUGGGCAUUAACUGACGCUGAGGAGCGAAAGCAUGGGGAGCGAACAGGAUUAGAUACCCUGGUAGUCCAUGCCGUAAACGUUGGGCACUAGGUNUGGGGGACAUUCCACGUUUCCGCGCCGUAGCUACGCAUUAAGUGCCCCGCCGCGGGAGGUACGGCCGCGAGACGUAAACUACAANAGAGUAGACGGCGNGAGACGUGCCGACGGACGACGACGAGGGAGGUUAGG
rnacentral:rRNA from 1 species